CCCUAGCAAAAUUAAAAAUUACUUAUAAAUAAAUCUUAAAGAGUAAGAUUAGUAAAAUAAAAUACAUGAAAACUCUAGAAUAUGUUAGAUAUUAAUAUGUAAAUUGUUUAUAAAAAAAAUGGGGUAUAAGUAAAUGGAAUAUUCUAGAAUUGAUUUAAUAUUAAAAUAUUAAGAAUUUUUGUAAUAAGUCAUAUAAUAUUAAUGAAUAAACUUGAAUAUUCUAGAAUUGCUAUUGAUAAAAAUAUCUAAGAUUUUAUUAGCAAAUAGCAUUAAAAUAUUUAUAAAGUGUUAGAUUUUUAUUGUAUAAGUUAGAUUUUUUAAUAGAUAAUCCAUGUAUAUAUAUAUGGAUAUGCUUGUGGUUUGGUAAUUUCCCUAUCUUCUCUCCCCUGCGUCUUUUCUCUUCUCUCCAUCUUCACCACUCAUCGAUUUACUGCAGCCAUCAAGUGCUAGGAGCGGCGCAUCCAAGGCUCGAGGAUGACAACCGAAGCAAGCUUGAAGAGGUUUGAAUUCAAUUACUUAAGGUUAAGGAGUUGACGGCAAGACGGCAGACAUGGAGCUCCACAUUCUCCCGUUCUAUUAUAUGAUGAAGUAUUAUAUGUUGCUGUUUUUGGUAAAUAUAUCUUGCUACUAACCAACUUAGCCUCUUCCAAUUUUGGUGGGUCGAGACUUUAUAUAUAUUGGUUUAUGAUCAUGCAUUUUGAUGACGGCUGUGACCGAAUAUAUAUAUUUUGUUUA